CGCGUAGGCGGGACGUCAAGUUAGGGGUGAAAGGCCUGGGCUCAACCUAGGAACUGCCUCUAAAACUGACGCUCUAGAGUCCGGGAGAGGAUGGCGGAAUUCCCAGUGUAGAGGUGAAAUUCGUAGAUAUUGGGAAGAACACCAGUGGCGAAGGCGGCCAUCUGGUCCGGCACUGACGCUGAGGCGCGAAAGCGUGGGGAGCAAACA
rnacentral:rRNA from 1 species